AAUGGAUAUCUUGGCUCUUGCAUCGAUGAAGAGCGCAGCGAAAUGCGAUACGUGGUGCGAAU
rnacentral:rRNA from 1 species